ensembl:lncRNA
UAUUUUAGCUGUGGGUCCUUCUAGCUGUGGCAUGUGGGACGCCGUCUUAGUGUGGCCUGACGAGUGGUGCCAUAUCCGUGCCCUGGAUCCCAACCAGCGAAACCCCGGGCCGCCCAAGCGGAGAAGCUCGAACUUAACCACUCAGCCACGGGGCCAGCCCCUCAGAUUUCUAUUUUCAUAUCUCCCCCUUCUUUUGUAAAAGAGACCUCCUUUGAACACAGCUCAGACUGCUGUUCUCCUUAGUAAGAUGAAUGCAACAUCUUUUAACUUGUUUCAUUUUUAGAACUAUUUUUAGUUUAUCUAAUUGUAAUAAUCUUUGCAUUUCGUCAGCAUGAACCAGAAUUUCUGUAGAAUCAUAUUACCUGACAAAUGAGUGAGAACACCUCCUUAAACUGCCAUGUUACUUCUCACGAAUGAUGCUUGCUAUCUUGAAUGCUGGUUGUCUCCAUAGGCGGAUGCUGCCAGGUGAGCCCACUGAUUGGCUGGUGGAUUAUAGCCCUUUGUGGAGAGGGGCAGGUCUUCCAUCUGGGAGUUUGGGUUUAAUCUACACGAGGAGUGGGAAACGUGCCCACAACCGUUCUGCAAACUGUGAAGGGGCCUCCCCUCGGGCGGCCUGCAGGAGCUCCCCUCCGUCCUCCAAGGGCAGGCUGGCUCUCGCCAGGGACGCGGCUGCGAGGCCCGGGCUGCCUGGCCCCCUUUCCUUUCCCUUCCUCUCUCCUCCCCAACUGCUGCUCCCCGCAGGCCCAGUGAUUCUGUCUUGAGACUCAGACUGACCAGACUGGGGCCCACAAAGCAUGUGAGUAGAUGGCAAUGACCCUUCUCAACCUGCCCGAACCCCAAGGGUCUGAUCCUGGCUCCUGGCCCUUUGCUAGGGGGAGAAGGAAAGCCUCAGCCUGUGACUUGAGUUUUGGGGUGGUCUUUGCAAUCAAUGUGCACGAACCGACAAUGUCACCAAUGAUGCAUCUGGUUUCCAGGAUUGUUGGCACAUUAUUACAAUUCCCAUGUAUGAUUCCGAUGAGAACUGGAGAGAGCCGACAAAGGAAACAGACAACUACGCUGUUUUCAUGUUCGCUUCCUUCCUGGAGAAGAGGUUUCUAGUUUCUCUGCGGAUCACCAAGAGCUGUCACGUCUCACGGAUCCAGCUUCCCCCACUGCUCAGGCGCCACGAGUAAUUUGCCAGCCUGUCUGAAAGAGGUGAGGACAGGAGACGGAUCUCUGACAACACAGCACACGUCAAAAAGCUAUGUGAUGGCUGCAAAUGGCUCCGACCUGCUGUCCUCCAACACAGGAGCAAACUUCCAGGGACAGAAACGCAUCCCAAGACGAAAUCGGAACCCUGGACACACGCUACGUUCAUGAAACAGAAUACUGAAUUCUGCUUCAUCCCACACCGGGCACCAUGUCCUACGAGCCUGGUGUUCAUGCAAUUCGUGUGACGUAUUAAUCAACGACAUCCUGAGGUGCCAGGCAGCCAGCUGUCCCCAGCAGGUUCCACAGCCUGACAGGUGGCCCACCACUCCAGCACACGGCAACACCUGUUCUUCACGAGACUCUUUACCCAGGCCCUCUCCCGAAACUCAAGGGAAUUUUCUUCAACUCUGUGUAGAAGUCAUUCCAUUUUCCUUCACUAUGCAAGAAGAUAGUUCAUAUUUCAGAUCUCUGUUGGGCGUUGUUCGGGAGGCAAAGAUGGACGGGAUGUUUUUGAUCCCCUAGCAGAGAGAGAGGGUGGCUGUGGCCUGUAAGCAAUGAGACCACAGGGCAGCCCCCGCAGCUGCCCUCUGCUCAUUGAGCCGCCUGCUGUGCAGCUGGACAACACCAGGGCCUGCGUUAGACAGUGAACUUACUGCUGCGGAAGGCCACCCCUAACCUAAAAACCACACCGUCUCAGAUGGCGGGUUAACGCCAUCCAUAGCCUGUCUGAGACCAUUUGGGCAGCAAAGUCAAGACGACAGUAUUUAACUGAUUCUUUUUUUUAACUUUUAAGGGACUAGGUCAUUAAAAGAAAGGUCUUAUCUCAGAAUUUCAUUAUUUUAUCUAUGAUUAUUUGAAGAUACAAGUUUACAUAUUUAGAUAAGUUAGCCCCAGUGGCAUAAAUAAAAGAGCCAGUUACAGAUCCUGAACUAUGUUGAUCAUAAAGAGCACAGGACCAGCACUGUGGACUGUGAAAAGGCCGUGCACAGAAUGCCUUGGGAAGUUUGCCCUGAAUUUGGAAUCUAUAAAUGACUCUGUUUAUUAAAAGUGUAAUUAUAGUGGCUACACCACAGCAAUUCAGUAUUUCUAUAUGCUCAAAUGCAACUCAAAAUUCAGGUGUUACUGUGAGUUUGAACUAGGGCAAAAUGGUAACCUACAAUUUAAAAUAGAACGCAGCCAAGACAUGGUGAAAUGAAUCUCGAAGUUCUUCAUUAAAAGGCACCUUAAUGAAACUGAACUAGGCCACGGGGCAGAGGGAUUUCUAACUGUAAAAUGAGCCAACGCAGGUCAUCACAUUGACAAACAGGAGGAACAUCUGAUUCUGAAGACCAGAGCCAGUGUGACCACAAUCACCGCAGGCAAAGCUCUUGACCAGGCCCCGAGACAGAAGGCCGCGAAGACUGCGAGCUUCCAGGACCGAGGACCGACGGGAACCUCAGCACGUCAUUAUGUGCAUCCUUCACAGAGCGUCUGCUGCUGUUCACAGCCGCGCCGGUGGUGGAACCGAGCCUCCUCUCCAGAACACUGCUAAAACCCUCGCCCUGAUGCUCGGGGUCCUCUGCGGAGGCAGCGCGUCGAAGAGCAGCAGCCCUGACUUUCUGGGCUGAGUGGGUCAUAAGAGCUGCAGAGUGAGAGAAGGAAGACUCCGGUGCAGCCCCUCCCUGCCGCCCUUGGGGGACCCGCAGAGCAGGGGAGCUGUAUUUAACGACUUGCAAAAUUCCUGAAAAUUUAACAAUUGGCUUUUGCGAACAGACAUGAACGCUAACAGCACCGCUUGUGAAAUGAGUACCACUCUCCCCAUUUGACCCUAAGAGGAAACUGAGGAAGAGAGGAGUCUGGCAAUCUGUCUGAGGUCCUAUAACUUGUGAGGGGCUGAGCCCAGGCUGCAAACCUUUCUGCUUCUCCGGUGGGGAAUUUCCGCCAUAAACCAGCCCUCAGUGACCGCAGAUCCUCAUCUGUUUACGUUCUAAUUACCGCUUGUAGCAAAACCUGGUCUGGAUCUUUGUGGGGGAGGGUAGCUUUGGGGAGGGGUGGGUGAUUCCAGCCUGGACGGUGAAGGCUGGUUGGAGGGGGACCUCAGGAAGCACUGGUUCUCUCCCCCUGUGCACCCAGCAGGGGCGGUGUGGGAACUCAAGCUAAGACACAGACUCCUGUGGAAUAUUCUCUGGGGAGAACAGCAAUGUGAACUUACUUCCUAUUAAAUUAAUGUAAGCAUAAGAUGUCAUUUCUGGCUAAGAUGAAUAUAUUUUUAUAAAUACAGUUAUUUGGGCUAAAACUGUAUUUUGUCCAGAGUCUUCACAGAGAUUUCUGAGUGGGUCAUAAUUCUCAGUGAGAAAGACACAAUAUUUUAUCACUCAAGCAAAGAGUUUGUUAUGAGUAUUAACUAAAUAUUGCUGGUCAUAACCAUUACCGACAUUAAACUGACAAUGGCAAAUUACUUUCCGACUUUUAGUGAUUCUCAUUUUAUGUAUGUAUUUUGAAAUAAUAAUUAUUAUUCUAAAAUUUAAAACAUAGUAAUAUAUAUCCUAC